UGGCAGUGCACGUUAUGCCAUGUCGCAAUCAGCAUCGGAUUCCCCGGUAUCAACCCACACAGUACCAAAUGUGGCAGGCUUAAUAAGUGAGUGAAGGAUAAGAAAUUCUACUUAGAGAAGGGUGAAGUUAAACGCAAAAUAGAGGAACAGCAUCUCAUAUUCCGCCUGGGUAGUUUACAGUCUGAUGGCAUGAACAUUGAAUUCUCCAAUUCAGAUGCUCCAGACCUGCUGAGCAUUUCCACCAUUUUCUGGUUUCAUUUCAGAAUUCCAACAAAUGCAGUUUUUUGCUUCCCAAUACAUCCUCACUGAUGAAACCAGCUUUGUGAACGAACCUGACAACUCCUUGAUUAAAGAAACAUCAACCUGAAGUUGCAGUUAUUGGCUUUUCGGUUUAUUUUCAUCAAGUUAGUUGA